CCUCUGUAGUUCAGUCGGUAGAACGGCGGACUGUUAAUCCGUAUGUCACUGGUUCGAGUCCAGUCAGAGGC
rnacentral:tRNA from 1 species